rnacentral:rRNA from 1 species
GUGAGGAAUAUUGGUCAAUGGGCGAGAGCCUGAACCAGCCAAGUAGCGUGCAGGAUGACGGCCCUAUGGGUUGUAAACUGCUUUUAUGCGGGGAUAAAGUGAGGGACGUGUCCCUUUUUGUAGGUACCGCAUGAAUAAGGACCGGCUAAUUCCGUGCCAGCAGCCGCGGUAAUACGGAAGGUCCGGGCGUUAUCCGGAUUUAUUGGGUUUAAAGGGAGCGCAGGCGGGAGGUUAAGCGUGACGUGAAAUGUAGCCGCUCAACGGCUGAACUGCGUCGCGAACUGGCUUUCUUGAGUGAGUACGACGUCAGCGGAAUUCGUGGUGUAGCGGUGAAAUGCUUAGAUAUCACGAAGAACCCCGAUUGCGAAGGCAGCUGACGAGUCCUUUACUGACGCUAAAGCUCGAAGGUGCGGGUAUCGAACAGG